rnacentral:rRNA from 1 species
GGUCAAGUUAUUAAGGGUGCAGGGCGGAUGCCUUGGCACUAGGAGCCGAUGAAGGACGUGAUAAGCUGCGAUAAGCUUCGGGGAGUUGCACGUAAACUUUGAUCCGAAGAUUUCCGAAUGAGGAAACUCACUUAGAGUAAUGUCUAAGUAUCAUUAAGUGAAUACAUAGCUUAAUGAGGGGAACUCAGGGAACUGAAACAUCUAAGUACCUGAAGGAAGAGAAAGAAAUUCGAUUCCGUAAGUAGCGGCGAGCGAACGCGGAUUAGCCCAAACCAAUAAAGUUUUCUUUAUUGGGGUUGCGGACAUAUCAUAACGAAGAGGUAUCGUAAUUGAAGAGGUUUGGAAAGACCCACCACAGAAGGUAAUAGUCCUGUAUGUUAAACGAGAAGACUUUAGAUAUGAUCCAGAGUACCACGGGACACGUGAAACCCUGUGGGAAGCAGGAGGGACCACCCUCCAAGGCUAAAUACUACCUAGUGACCGAUAGCGUAUAGUACCGUGAGGGAAAGGUGAAAAGAACCCCGGGAGGGGAGUGAAAUAGAACCUGAAACCCUGCACUUACAAGCUGUGGAAGCACAUUUCUUGUGUGACCGCGUACUUUUUGUAGAACGGGCCAACGAGUUACGUUAAGUAGCAAGGUUAAGCACUUAAGGUGUGGAGCCGUAGCGAAAGCGAGUUUUAACUGAGCGUUCAGUUACUUGACGUAGACCCGAAACCGGGCGACCUACCCAUGAGCAGGAUGAAGCGAAAGUAAAAUUUCGUGGAGGUCCGAACCCACGAGCGUUGAAAAGCUCGGGGAUGACUUGUGGGUAGCGGUGAAAUUCCAAUCGAGCCCGGAGAUAGCUGGUUCUCCCCGAAAUAGCUUUAGGGCUAGCCUCAAGGUGAGAGAUACGGAGGUAGAGCACUGAAUGUCCUAGGGGGUAUUGCACCUACCGAAGACUAUCAAACUCCGAAUGCCGUCAUCUUAUACUUGGGAGUCAGACUGUGGGUGAUAAGAUUCAUAGUCGAAAGGGCAACAGCCCAGAUCGUCAGCUAAGGUCCCUAAAUGUAAGUUAAGUGGUAAAGGAUGUGGGAUUGCACAGACAACCAGGAUGUUGGCUUAGAAGCAGCCACUCAUUCAAAGAGUGCGUAAUAGCUCACUGGUCGAGUGAUCCUGCGCCGAAGAUUUCCGGGGCUAAAACUUACUACCGAAGCUACGGCAUCAGUAAUGAUGGGUAGGGGAGCUUCCCAUACGGGUUGAAGCAUGACCGUAAGGACAUGUGGACAGUAUGGGAGUGAGAAUGUUGGCAUGAGUAGCGAGAUGUGGGUGAGAAUCCCACAGGCCGUAAACCCAAGGUUUCCAGGGGAAGGUUCGUCCGCCCUGGGUUAGUCGGGACCUAAGCUGAGGCCGAAAGGCGUAGGUGAUGGACAACAGGUUGAUAUUCCUGUACUACCGAUAACCGUUUGAGAGAAGGGAUGACACAGUAGGAUAAGCUAAGCACACUGUUGGUUAUGUGUGCCCAAGCAUUGAGGCAGUCAAAGUAGGCAAAUCCGCUUUGAUAAUGCUGGGAUGUGAUGGGGAGCGAAAUUUAGUAGCGAAGUAGCUGAUUUCACACUGUCAAGAAAAGUCUCUAUCGAGGUUAAAGGUACCCGUACCGCAAACCGACACAGGUGGGUGAGGAGAGUAUCCUAAGGCCAGCGAGAGAACUGUUGUUAAGGAACUCGGCAAAAUGACCCCGUAACUUAGGGAUAAGGGGUGCCACCAUCAGGUGGCCGCAGAGAAUAGGCCCAAGCGACUGUUUACCAAAAACAUAGGUUUCUGCUAAGUCGCAAGACGAUGUAUAGGAGCUGACGCCUGCCCGGUGCUGGAAGGUUAAGGGGAUCUGUUAGAGCAAUCGAAGCAGUGAACUUAAGCCCCAGUAAACGGCGGCCGUAACUAUAACGGUCCUAAGGUAGCGAAAUUCCUUGUCGGGUAAGUUCCGACCCGCACGAAAGGCGUAACGAUUUGGG